rnacentral:rRNA from 1 species
AGUGAACGCUGGCGGCAGGCCUAACACAUGCAAGUCGAACGAAAGCACAGUAAGAGUUUGCUCUUACGGUUGGCGAGUGGAGGAUGGGUGAGACAUGUAUCGGAAUCUACUUUUUCGUGGGGGAUAACGUUGGGAAAGAUACGCUAAUCCCGAAUAUGUCCAACGGGUGAAUGCAGGGGAUAUUAGGAGCUUGCGCGACAGAUAGAGCCGAUGUCGGAUCAGCUAGUUGGUGGGGUAAAGGCCCACCAAGGCGACGAUCCGUAGCUGGUCUGAGAGGAUGAUCGGCCACACUGGAACUGAGACACGGUCCAGACUCCUACGGGAGGCAGCAGUGGGGAAUAUUCGACAAUGGGCGCAAGCCUGAUGCAGCCAUGCCGCGUGGGUGAAGAAGGCCUUCGGAUUGUAAAGCCCUUUUAUUGGGAAAGAAAAGCAGCAGGUGAAUACCCCGCUGUUCUGACGGUACCCGAAUAGUAAGCACCGGCUAACUACGUG